GAUGAAGAACGUAGCGAAAUGCGAUAAGUAAUGUGAAUUGCAGAAUUCAGUGAAUCAUCGAAUCUUUGAACGCACAUUGCGCCCCUUGGUAUUCCGGGGGGCAUGCCUGUUCGAGCGUCAUUUCAACCCUCAAGCUUCUGCUUGGUCUUGGGCCGUGCCGGCAACGGCUGGCCUUAAAACUAGUGGCGGUGCCAUCGAGCUCUACGCGUAGUAAUUCUAUCUCGCGUCUGGGCUUCGGUGGACGCUGGCCAGCAACACCCAAUUUUCUAUGGUUGACCUCGGAUCAGGUAGGGAUACCCGCUGAACUUAAGCAUAUCAAUAAGCGGAGGA
rnacentral:misc_RNA from 1 species